ACGGAGGGUGCAAGCGUUAUCCGGAAUUAUUGGGUUUAAAGGGUGCGUAGGCUGUUACAUAAGUCAGCGGUAAAAUUUCUCGGCUUAACCGAGGUCCUGCCGUUGAAACUGCGUAGCUAGAAUACGGUUGCUGUGGGAGGAAUGUGUAGUGUAGCGGUGAAAUGCAUAGAUAUUACACAGAACACCGAUUGCGAAGGCAUCUCACAAAGCCGUUAUUGACGCUGAGGCUCGAAAGCGUGGGUAGCAAACAG
rnacentral:rRNA from 1 species